UGGGAAAGAAAGGCAACCUGGUCU
rnacentral:piRNA from 1 species